rnacentral:rRNA from 1 species
UACGGAGGGGGCUAGCGUUGUUCGGAAUUACUGGGCGUAAAGCGCACGUAGGCGGUUAUUCAAGUCAGAGGUGAAAGCCUGGAGCUCAACUCCAGAACUGCCUUUGAAACUAGAUAACUAGAAUCACGGAGAGGUUAGUGGAAUUCCGAGUGUAGAGGUGAAAUUCGUAGAUAUUCGGAAGAACACCAGUGGCGAAGGCGACUGACUGGACAUGUAUUGACGCUGAGGUGCGAAAGCGUGGGGAGCAAACAGG